rnacentral:rRNA from 1 species
GGGGGGGGCAAGCGUUGUUCGGAAUUACUGGGCGUAAAGGGCUCGUAGGUGGCCAACUAAGUCAGACGUGAAAUCCCUCGGCUUAACCGGGGAACUGCGUCUGAUACUGGAUGGCUUGAGUUUGGGAGAGGGAUGCGGAAUUCCAGGUGUAGCGGUGAAAUGCGUAGAUAUUUGGAGGAACACCGGUGGCGAAGGCGGCAUCUUGGACCAACACUGACACUGAGGAGCGAAAGCCAGGGGAGCAAACGGGAUUAGAUACCCCGGUAGUCCUGGCCCUAAACGAUGAAUGCUUGGUGUGGCGGGUAUCGAUCCCUGCCGUGCCGAAGCUAACGCAUUAAGCAUUCCGCCUGGGGAGUACGGUCGCAAGGCUG